rnacentral:rRNA from 1 species
UACAGAGGUCUCUAGCGUUGUUCGGAUUCAUUGGGCGUAAAGGGUGCGUAGGCGGCGCGGUAAGUCGGGUGUGAAAUCUCGGGGCUUAACUCCGAAACUGCAUUCGAUACUGCCGUGCUUGAGGACUGGAGAGGAGACUGGAAUUUACGGUGUAGCGGUGAAAGUGCGUAGAUAUCGUAAGGAAGACCAGUGGCGAAGGCGGGUCUCUGGACAGUUCCUGACGCUGAGGCACGAAGGUCAGGGGAGCAAACGGG